UACGGAAGGCAGCAGUGGGGAAUAUUGCACAAUGGGCGCAAGCCUGAUGCAGCCAUGCCGCGUGUAUGAAGAAGGCCUUCGGGUUGUAAAGUACUUUCAGUCGUGAGGAAGGUGUUAAGGUUAAUAACCUUAGCAAUUGACGUUAGCGACAGAAGAAGCACCGGCUAACUCCGUGCCAGCAGCCGCGGUAAUACGGAGGGUGCGAGCGUUAAUCGGAAUUACUGGGCGUAAAGGGCACGCAGGCGGUUAAUUAAGUUGGAUGUGAAAUCCCCGGGCUUAACCUGGGAAUGGCAUUCAAGACUGGUUAGCUAGAGUCUUGUAGAGGGGGUAGAAUUCCAUGUGUAGCGGUGAAAUGCGUAGAGAUGUGGAGGAAUACCGGUGGCGAAGGCGGCCCCUGGACAAAGCUGACGCUCAUGCGCGAAAGCGUGGGGAGCAAACAGGGAUUAGAUA
rnacentral:rRNA from 1 species